rnacentral:rRNA from 1 species
AUUGAACGCUGGCGGCAUGCUUUACACAUGCAAGUCGAACGGUAACAGGCCGCAAGGUGCUGACGAGUGGCGAACGGGUGAGUAAUGCAUCGGAACGUGCCCAGUCGUGGGGGAUAACGCAGCGAAAGCUGCGCUAAUACCGCAUACGAUCUAUGGAUGAAAGCGGGGGACCGUAAGGCCUCGCGCGAUUGGAGCGGCCGAUGUCAGAUUAGGUAGUUGGUGGGGUAAAGGCUCACCAAGCCAACGAUCUGUAGCUGGUCUGAGAGGACGACCAGCCACACUGGGACUGAGCAACGGCCCAGACUCCUACGGGAGGCAGCAGUGGGGAAUUUUGGACAAUGGGCGCAAGCCUGAUCCAGCAAUGCCGCGUGCAGGAAGAAGGCCUUCGGGUUGUAAACUGCUUUUGUACGGAACGAAACGGUCCGGGUUAAUACCCUGGGCUAAUGACGGUACCGUAAGAAUAAGCACCGGCUAACUACGUGCCAGCCGCCGCGGUAACAC